rnacentral:rRNA from 1 species
GAAUCAACGCUGGCGGCGUGGAUAAGACAUGCAAGUCGAGCGAUGAUCACGGGGUAGCAAUAUUCCGUGGUUGGAGCGGCGCAAGGGUGCGUAACACGUGGGUAAUUUGCCAUGAAGUUGGGGAUAACUUGCUGAAAGGCGAGCUAAUACCGAAUGUGGCCCGAUGGAGGCAUCUCUGUCUGGCUAAAGUUGGGGACCGCAAGGCCUGACGCUUCAUGAUAAACCCGCGGCCUAUCAGCUAGUUGGCGGGGUAACGGCCCACCAAGGCGAAGACGGGUAGCUGGUCUGAGAGGACGACCAGCCACACUGGAACUGAGAAACGGUCCAGACACCUACGGGUGGCAGCAGUCGAGAAUUUUUCACAAUGGGGGAAACCCUGAUGGAGCGACGCCGCGUGGGGGAUGACUGGCUUCGGCCCGUAAACCCCUGUCAUUUGUGAACAAACCUUUCCACCCAACACGUGGAGAGUUGAUAGUAGCAGAAGAGGAAGGGACGGCUAACUCUGUGCCAGCAGCCGCGGUAAUACAGAGGUCCCAAGCGUUGUUCGGAUUCACUGGGCGUAAAGGGUGCGUAGGUGGCCGGGUAAGUUUGAUGUGAAAGCUCGGAGCUUAACUCCGAAACUGCAUUGAAUACUAUCCGGCUGGAGGGUCGGAAGGGGGACUGGAAUUUCUCGGUGUAACAAUGAAAUGCCUAAAUGUCCAGAGGGAACACCAGUUGGCGAAAGCGAAUCCCUUGGACGAAUUCCUGGACACUUGAGGCGCCAAAAGCUAGGGGAACCAA